rnacentral:lncRNA from 1 species
UUCCAACAACUUCUCACCAACCUAACACAAGAUCAUUCAAGAGAGAAGUAAGAGAAAGAGGUUCAAGGGAGUUAGUGCAUUCAAGUGAAGAAAUCAAGUGCUUUCAAGCUUCCCAACUGAUUUCGUGCUCAACUACUCUCUCCCGCUCGGCAUUCAAAGCUCACAUUCAAGACAACGCGAUCCACAUCGGAAGAACCACCAUUUCCCACGCUUCCAACGGCUAAAAGGGUUCUUCCGGGUUUUGUUAUUUCUCACUGUUUUAUCUGCUUAUUUAGAGCUUUCAAAUCUUUUGUAAAACCUUUGGUUAUUGUGCUUGUUCCAGUCAAGGGACUUGGAACAAGGGAAAGGCGUCCCAAGCCUAGGUGAAAUUGGGGGUUGUAGGGUUCGUUGUU